UAGGGAAUAUUGCACAAUGGGCGAAAGCCUGAUGCAGCAACGCCGCGUGCGCGAAGAAGGUCUUCGGAUCGUAAAGCGCUUUUCUGGGAGAUGAGAAAGGACAGUAUCCCAGGAAUAAGUCUCGGCUAACUACGUGCCAGCAGCCGCGGUAACACGUAGGAGGCGAGCGUUAUCCGGAUUCACUGGGCGUAAAGCGCGUGCAGGCGGUUCGGUAAGUUGGGCGUGAAAUCUCCCGGCUCAACUGGGAGAGGUCGUUCAAUACUACCGAACUUGAGAGCGAUAGAGGAAAAUGGAAUUCCCGGUGUAGUGGUGAAAUGCGUAGAUAUCAGGAGGAACACCGGCGGUGUAGACGGCUUGCUAGACCAUAACUGACGCUGAGGCACGAAAGCGUGGGUAGCAAACA
rnacentral:rRNA from 1 species